UACGUAGGGUGCGAGCGUUGUCCGGAAUUAUUGGGCGUAAAGAGCUCGUAGGCGGUUCGUCGCGUCGGCUGUGAAAUCCCGAGGCUCAACCUCGGGUCUGCAGUCGAUACGGGCGGACUGGAGUUCGGCAGGGGAGACUGGAAUUCCUGGUGUAGCGGUGAAAUGCGCAGAUAUCAGGAGGAACACCUGCGGUGUAGACGGCUUACUGGACGGUAACUGACGCUGAGGCACGAAAGCGUGGGUAGCAAACAGG
rnacentral:rRNA from 1 species